rnacentral:rRNA from 1 species
GAUGAACGCUGGCGGCGUGCCUAAUACAUGCAAGUAGAACGCUGAAGGAGGAGCUUGCUCUUCUGGAUGAGUUGCGAACGGGUGAGUAACGCGUAGGUAACCUGCCUGGUAGCGGGGGAUAACUAUUGGAAACGAUAGCUAAUACCGCAUGACAACAGUUAUUGCAUGAUAACUGUUUAAAAGGGGCAACUGCUCCACUACCAGAUGGACCUGCGUUGUAUUAGCUAGUUGGUGAGGUAACGGCUCACCAAGGCGACGAUACAUAGCCGACCUGAGAGGGGGAUCGGCCACCCUGGGACUGAGACACGGCCCAGACUCCUACGGGAGGCAGCAGUAGGGAAUCUUCGGCAAUAGACGGAAGUCUGACCGAGCAACGCCGCGUGAGUGAAGAAGGUUGUCGGAUCGUAAAGCUCUGUUGUAAGAGAAGAACGAGUGUGAGAGUGGAAAGUUCACACUGUGACGGUAUCUUACCAGAAAGGGACGGCUAACUACGUG